rnacentral:rRNA from 1 species
CCUACGGGGGGCAGCAGUGAGGAAUAUUGGUCAAUGGGCGCAAGCCUGAACCAGCCAUGCCGCGUGCAGGAUGACGGUCCUAUGGAUUGUAAACUGCUUUUGCACAGGAAGAAACACUGCCUCGUGAGGUAGCUUGACGGUACUGUGAGAAUAAGGAUCGGCUAACUCCGUGCCAGCAGCCGCGGUAAUACGGAGGAUCCAAGCGUUAUCCGGAAUCAUUGGGUUUAAAGGGUCCGUAGGCGGUCUAAUAAGUCAGUGGUGAAAGCCCUACGCUCAACGUAGGAACGGCCAUUGAUACUGUUAGACUUGAAUUAUUUGGAAGUAACUAGAAUAUGUAGUGUAGCGGUGAAAUGCUUAGAGAUUACAUGGAAUACCAAUUGCGAAGGCAGGUUACUACAAAUGGAUUGACGCUGAUGGACGAAAGCGUGGGUAGCGAACAGGAUUAGAUACCCCAGUAGUC